AUGGAUCGUCAUGUAGAUUACGGCACUCAGUCGGGCGAUGAUGCUGGGGAUGAGAUGAAGUCAAAUGAUUUAUCUUCAGCUUCAUCUGUAUCAUCUUCUUCUACAGAGAAUCCGAAUGAGAGUCAUGUGCAACUCAAUAUCACCAACGAGAAUGUAGAUGAUGAAAUUAUAACAAAUCUGAGUUCACCUAAGACAGACAGCCCAAAAACUGACAAGGAAGCACAACUUAAGAUGGUGAGGAAGAUUGCGAAUAAAAAGAAAAAGAAAAGGCAUGAAGAAUUAGACGAGGAAGAGGAGGAUGGGGAGGAGGAGGAGGACGAGAGUGAAGUAGAGGACGACGAGAAGAGGAAGAGGAGGAGGAUAGUGAAGACGAGGAUGAGUGAAGAAGUAUAA
rnacentral:rRNA from 1 species